rfam:Aedes albopictus isolate Foshan contig100782, whole genome shotgun sequence.
UGUUCUGUGGCUUAAUUGAUUAAAGCGCCGGUCAAGCGGAUGCGGACUGCGGAGUCGUGGGUUCGAAAUCCACCAGAACGC